UUGUGUUAUAUGGCUGCUCUCAGUGUGUUACCAUGGAAGUAGAGAUUUCAAGGAUACACUUGUGCACACAAGCUUAAAGACGCUGAAGACAAACACUUGGAGGCUGUCAGCUUUUCACAACGUUGCUCAUCACAGAGCCUUAUCUAAAAAUCCGUAUACUUCUAGCUUUGUCUUUUUCUUCUUUAGUAACUAACUACAAGGGAAGCUAGGCCUAUUGAUGCCUCAAUACUUCCUGCUGUGUUAGGAAUACCCAUUGCCUUGUUUUCUGAUUGGUCAAGUACACUUCCGACCGUCUUGCGGAAGCGUCUUACCUGGCUUUACCUGACCUUACCUGGCUUGGGAAUUCCCCUCGGUUCAAAACUAGACAAGCGGUCGGGAAAAACCCAAGUACACGUUAUCAUACAAGCGAAAAGCCGUGGGCUUUUCCCAUCUACGUAAUGUACGGCCAGGUAUAAGUUAUAUUCUACAUACACAGAAGUAAGAGAACACACCUGUCAUUUCAGCAUCGUGCGCUCAGUCGACAGGACCAAUAUUUUGGGAGACAUCUCAUACCUUACUUACUCACAGAACCUUAAAGAUGAAAGAAGGUCGAAUCUAGAAACAGAAAUCCAACAGACUUGAUGUAAGAAACAAAAGCAAAAGAAAGAGGUCAAGUAAAUGAAGACAACUCGUAGAAGGACAAAGCAUGGAGGAAGGAUAUCAAAAGGAGGAGAUGCUAACAGAUUACUGUGCUGCAACAUGUAGUAUCAACUUCUGUGUCUCUCUUACUGCUGAACUGUUCAAACCUAGUGUGGACAGGUUCAUUUGUGACAUUUGGUGAAUUGGUCACAGUGGUGAUGUGAGACCAAACCUCAUAUGACGACAUGCCGCCAGACGAUGGGGUGACGAUGGCCUAGCUGUGGUGAGCUAUCCCAGGCAGUAUGGUAUGAGGCAAUUGGACGGAAUAAUACUUCUUUCUUCUAUUAUGCCACCACGUAUUGCUGUUCAUUGUUUAUUUGAUAUUUUUAAAAAAUGAAAGACUAUAAGCACUAGUAGCUGACAAUGUAUUUCAGAUAAAUUGCGCAAUUUUCGGAAUCUAGAGCCCAUACUCAGACCCGGCGUUGUCCCUUUCUUUCUCUGUGAUUACUACUUUCCGUUCGAGCUUGCCAACUUUCUUAAAUUUCACAUUGUUUUCCUUGUAACAUAACAUGCCCUUUAUAAUUGUGGUUCUUAGCAGGAAAACCCCCUGAUUGCGGUGGAAGAGUAAACAACAUAGAUAACUUCUGACUGAUCGAAAAUGAAUUGCUCCUGUGCUUGAGGCAGGCAGGAUGUUCUAAUGUAUGUUGACUUGAUUUCAGCUACAUGUAUUUCUUUUGUGAUUCAUUACUUUUAUUUAGUAUGCGAGAUAAUUGAAAAUUGUUUCCUUCAGUAGCGAUUCCCAAUUGUUAUACGAACAUUUAUAGUAGACCAUAUUUCGGGUCAUCUUAUGACAUGAAGAAUAGGAGAAAUUAGCAGUUAAUCUGCUUAAAUGUUGCUGUCAAAGAACCGUAACAUGUCUGUACUUCCAGUGAGAAAAGGCUACAGUAUGUUACAGUGAGACUCCAUUUGUUACUAGUGGGUAACAAUCAAUUUUUUUUAUUAAUUUAACCCGAAAAUCUUACUAGCCACUCUCAAUUAAAUGAACAAUAUGCGAGCGUGAACUAUAUGCCACUUGGAUCUGCCAAUUGACCAAGUUAAAUCAGAAAAAUAAUUCUCUUUUCAGCAUGUUCAUAUAGGUUGACGACUAUUCUCUUGUUAUCAAGCUUUGGACAGAUGAGGUUACCUAUUUACAUGUGUCCACCCGAAGGAGUGGCACUCCCAAACGGUCUAACGCCAAAGAAACGAAAUCAGGGUUUUGUUGCACAGACAUUGAGCAACAAAUGUAUCCACUGGAUACUAAUUAGUAACUUCUGUACUCGGGGAUCGAAUCGACUGAGGCCAGUGAUGGAAUCGGAUCAGGCCUGUGGUUGUAUGGACUGAGACCAAUGCCAAAUGGACUCAUAACCGAGGACGAAUCGACUAAGAAUGGUGGUCAAAUCGACCGGUGACUGCUGUAGUGCCCACUGUGCACUUUCCGCAUGUAAGCAAAGAGACAACAAGAGACUGAAUGCCGAUGAAGUCAGGCCUGGCGAGUCAGGGAGGGCUGGUGUACCCGGGAGGACGCCCGGUAAUUCUUCUUUUUUCGUUUUCUUUAAAACAAAUGGCUGCUAAAUGAAUACGAAAGCAUUACAUAUAGAAAAAUCGAGUUUCAAGUCUGCAAUGUACUAUUUCCAGGGUUGAUGGAGUAGCGAUAUGGACUGGUGUGGUAGUGAGGCUGAGAGAGAGUUGUUGUCAGCGCGAUCAUGUUCACAUCACUGUGGACGUCGCUUGGUCCAGGACAACGAUUAGUUGAACCAUUUAGAAGUCUGUUCGUGCAUCGAGACAUAGAGGUAGUCAAGCCUGAAGAGAGGAAGGAGCAGGGAGGGAUGGUGUACCCGGGUCCGCGGCUGUGUAGUAGGCCCAACUUUGCUCAGUAAUUGGUUUGGGGGAUUUUUGUUUGUGACAA
rnacentral:lncRNA from 1 species